CCAGACUGUCUCUUCUCCUCCCAGAGGAUCCCUGAUGGCUAACAAUAACAUAUCCUGACAUAAUGUAAACGUUACACGUUACCCUCUCUCCCUCAGUGACAUAUCCUGACAAUGUAAACGUUACAUUACCCUCUCUCCCUCAGUGACAUAUCCUGACAUAAUGUAAACGUUACAUUACCCUAUCUCCCUCAGUGACAUAUCCUGACAUAAUGUAAACGUUACAU
rnacentral:lncRNA from 13 species